rnacentral:rRNA from 1 species
AUUGAACGCUGGCGGCAGGCCUAACACAUGCAAGUCGAGCGAGCGGCGGACGGGUGAGUAAUGUAUGGGGACUGCCCGCUAGAGGGGGAUAACUACUGGAAACGGUGGCUAAUACCGCAUACUAUCGGAUAACCCAUAUGGGAUUAGCUGGUAGGUGGGGUAAAGGCUCACCUAGGCGACGAUCUCUAGCUGGUCUGAGAGGAUGAUCAGCCACACUGGGACUGAGACACGGCCCAGACUCUUAGGGAGGCAGCAGUGGGGAAUAUUGAAAAAUGGCCGCAAGCCUGAUCCAGCCAUGCCGCGUGUAUGAAGAAGGCCUUAGGGUUUUAAAGUACUGUCAGCGGACAGGCGUUACCCACAGAAGAAGCACCGGCUAACUCCGUGCCAGCAGCCGCGGUAAUUC